rnacentral:siRNA from 1 species
CCAGUGUCUGGCAAAAGACUGUGC